GGCGACGUAGCUCAGUGGCAGAGCAAGCGGCUCAUAAUCGCUGGGUCCUCAGUUCGAGUCUGAGCGUCGCCA
rfam:Anaerolineae bacterium CG2_30_64_16 cg2_3.0_scaffold_17131_c, whole genome shotgun sequence.